AUACGUAGGGGGCGAGCGUUGUCCGGAAUUAUUGGGCGUAAAGAGUACGUAGGCGGUUCUGUAAGCGGGAGGUGAAAGCCCGGGGCUUAACUCCGGUAAGCCUUUCGAACUGCAGGACUUGAGUGCUGGAGGGGAAAGUGGAAUUCCUAGUGUAGCGGUGAAAUGCGUAGAUAUUAGGAGGAACACCGGCGGCGAAGGCGGCUUUCUGGACUGUAACUGACACUGAGGCACGAAAGCGUGGGGAGCAAACAGGAUUAGAUACCCUGGUAGUCCACGCCGUAAACGAUGAGCACUAGCUGUUGGGGCCGAAUGGUCUCAGUGGCGCAGUUAACGCAAUAAGUGCUCCGCCUGGGGAGUACGCGCGCAAGCGUAAAACUCAAAGGAAUUGGCGGGG
rnacentral:rRNA from 1 species